rnacentral:rRNA from 1 species
CGUAAACAGAGGGAAGCGAGCCUGCGAGGGGGAGCGAAUCCCAAAAAUAACGUCCCAGUUUGGAUUGUAGUCUGCAACCCGACUACAUGAAGCUGGAAUCGCUAGUAAUCGCGGAUCAGAAUGCCGCGGUGAAUACGUUCCCGGGUCUUGUACACACCGCCCGUCACACCAUGGGAGUCGGAAAUGCCCGAAGUCGGUGACCCAACCCGAAAGGGAGGGAGCCGUCGAAGGCAGGUCGGAUGACUGGGGUGAAGUCGUAACAAGGUAAC